AGGGUUUUAGUUUAUAUAAUAAAACAUCUAAUUUGCAUUUAGAAAAAAAAUAUACCUUA
rnacentral:tRNA from 1 species